rnacentral:lncRNA from 1 species
AUGGAGAUGGGGGACUGGGACCUAAUGGAAAGAUUUAGAGGCAUUGGACACAGUUUCUUUGAUUUUUCAGAUUCUGCCAGGAAUAGACAAUAUAGUGCAGGAGAGACAAGCUCCAGCCAGGGGACUGUCUCUGCUCCUGUGACAUCUAACGGGCAGGAUCACAGAGAUGCUGUGACCUCGCAGGGGGGUCUUCAGGCUUUUCCUGUAAUAAAAGGAAAUUCUAGAACAGGCCUGACCACAAAAACAGUGAUGGGUAUCAGAGACAAGGUUGCACAGCAUGGACUGGGAUCUCAGGAGGUAAUGCACAUGAUACACAUUCUUAAUUCUGAGCCACUGGUACUAUAUGAUAUUAGGUACAUUGCUCAGGUGUUGUUUCAGCCUAUUCAAUUUGAGAUUUUUGAGGACAACUGGAGUCAGAUACCCAUAAAAGUGGCUGGGCAAAAUAGUCAAUUGCGUCAAGAGGACUCUAGAUUUAGGAUUGGGCCUGACCUUUUGACAGGGAUUGGAAAUUUUUCUAACCCUGAUUCUCAGGUCACAUUCCACCUGCUGAUGUUGGAGCAGUGCCAGAGGACUGGCUUUGCAGCUCUGAUGAAAACAAUAGAGCUGUCUGCUCCAAAGCAAAAGUUUGCUACUAUUGUCCAGGGACCUAAGGAGCCGUACAUGCAGUUCAUUGAGAUACUCUCUGCCUCCUUAGAGAAGCAAGUAGACGAACCAGAUCUGAGACGUCUACUGCUCACAGAGUUGGCAAGAAGCAAUGCCAGUGAUGACUGUAAGAGGAUAAUACAGGCCCUCCCAGGUGACCCAUCUGUGGCACAGAUGGCUCAGGCUUGUGCAAACAUGGGCACCCCAGAUUGCAAGGUGGCUGCCUUGGUUACUGCCUUACCAGGGUCCUCAAAGGGACAAAAAGGUAAGCAGCAGAAGCAGGAAACAGCACGAGCCACCGAGAAGCAGGGGAAACAGAAGCAGAAAGGGAAAGCUCCCUCGUUUCUGUGUGCAUGGUGUAGGUGGCCAAAUCACUUUGCAGAGGCUUGUACAGUGAAAUUUGAGACUAAAGGCCAGCCUCUGCCAGAUCAGGGAAAUACAAAGCUGAGCUCAAAGGGGAAACACGCUCAGACGUAA